CUCUCUUCUUCUUCUCCCUAUUUUCUGCCUCCUUCUCCUUUUACAAGAUUUUGUCGGAGUUAUGGACAGUGGCUAUAACUCGCGGCCCGUUAAAAAAACCUUACUGAUUUCGCACAAAUCCCUGCCAUACUUUUCUUCACGGCCAAACCAUGGUUCUUCCUCAUCUUCUUCUCUCCGGUGAAAAUAAACUCAGAAUAAUCGAUCAUGAUUUUUGUGAACGGUUCAGGGAAGAAUUAGUAAUUUGGUAAACUGAGAAAGAAGGUAAACUGCGUUGAAGUCAAUUGAACUAUGGAAAGAGGAAGAAAAGGGUGAAAGAGAGCCAAUAGACAGAGAAUAGAGUUAUGGGUUUCUUUUGGAUUCAAACUCUUUGCAGGGAACUCGAAUUUGGGGGAAGAAAUGGAGCCAGGAAGAGACAACAAACGCCAACAGUUGAACUGCAUACAAUGUGUUCGACAAAAAGCCUAAGACACUACCGGCUGAUCUCUACCAUCUUUGCCAUGAACGUGUGCAAGCUGUGUUCAAAGAACUAAGAUGGAAUCUGUGUCAGGACAAAAGAAAUAAUGGGCUUUACUUGAAGGGUGUGGGACAUGGUGUAGAUACAGUUUGAGGAGAAAUGUUGCUGCCAUGGUUUUGUUUGUGAAUGAUAUGCAUUCUGGUGGUUAUGCUUGAAGUGUUAAGACCAAGGAGAUGAGCUGAUGGAUGCAGUUCAGGUGGAGUUUUUGUCAGCGAGAAAGAAGGGAACAGGCGCAAGAUCGGUAAUGUAAGUGAUCGCAAAUCAAGUGGAUACCAUGAAAGACAGGCCAUCAAUGAAAGGCGUCGGCGCAAUCCAAAAGCAACAGUAAUUGAUGCACUAAACCGCCAACCAAAUGACCAUGAAGCAAGUGGUAAGCCUGGGCAUGAAUUAUCUUUACAGUAAGACCUUAUAUAUAGAAAAUGUCACGAGUAGUUACUUAACUCAUACAACAUUGUAAAUUAAUCUGUUUCUGAAAGAUGUAGACUUAGCCAGUUAGAAGAAACUGAGUUGAUGAUUUAGUUUGAUUUUUGCUGGAUGAACAAACGGAGUUGCAUAAGGGCUUUGGGUUGUACGUAGCCUCAAGGAAUCAAAUAUUGAUUUGAUAUUAUGAAAAACAAUUUAUCAUGGUA